GACAGAGAGGAAGAGACAGAGAGGAAGAGAGAGAGAGGAAGAGAGAGAGAGAUGAAGAGAGAGAGAGGAAGAGAGAGAGAGAGGAAGAGAGAGAGAGGAAGAGACAGAGAGAAAGAGAGGAAGAGAGAGAGAGAGGAAGAGAGAGAGAGGAAGAGACAGAGAGAGAGAGCUUAAUAAAGGCAUAGAUGUCUCUUCUCUGUUCUGCCACCAUCUCUAUUCUCUUUCACCUGAACAAGCCGCGUGUCGCAGUGAUCACAAAGCCGCGAGCCACAUUGCCGUUUCCACGUGUUCUAAUGUGGCGUCGAGCUCAUUCUAAACCCCGCCCCCCCCCCNNNNNNNNNNGACAGAGAGGAAGAGACAGAGAGGAAGAGAGAGAGAGGAAGAGAGAGAGAGAUGAAGAGAGAGAGAGGAAGAGAGAGAGAGAGGAAGAGAGAGAGAGGAAGAGACAGAGAGAAAGAGAGGAAGAGAGAGAGAGAGGAAGAGAGAGAGAGGAAGAGACAGAGAGAGAGAGCUUAAUAAAGGCAUAGAUGUCUCUUCUCUGUUCUGCCACCAUCUCUAUUCUCUUUCACCUGAACAAGCCGCGUGUCGCAGUGAUCACAAAGCCGCGAGCCACAUUGCCGUUUCCACGUGUUCUAAUGUGGCGUCGAGCUCAUUCUAAACCCCGCCCCCCCCCCCGUUACAGUCCAACUCUCCUUUUACCAUUGGACGGAACGGCCGUCAAUCAAACAAGAGGGCGGGGCCAAGCCCCUCAUGAUUUGACAGCAGGUCGAAUUGCGCCGUUUAGGCUGAGUUAUAUACUUUAUGAUGGGUCCUGACCGUCUACCGACGAGAACCAAGGACACCCUCUCUAACUGACGUCACAGGAUCCGUUCCAACACGGAAACCGUAAUGGUGGGGGCUCGUCGUUAGUCGGUACUGUUGUGAUGGUCUUCCGAUCUCUCAUCUACUUCUAUCCACAACCUGUUACACACGUUAAAUAAAACACGUCAAUCUGAAAAGAAGACUUAGAAAAAAAUGUUCAACCAACGAAGC
rnacentral:lncRNA from 13 species